CCAGAUCCCUAAUGAAGUUUGUAGUUGAGAUAGUAUGCUUUCGUUUGCAUUUCUAACUUCUCCUUUUCGACCCUGCUUGUGUGUUUGUUCCUAGGCAAUGAAUAAAUGUUACUUCCUGUUUCCGAAUUUGAAGAGAAACUUAAGGGAUAUUACUUUGGUUGAAUGAUCCUAAGAUGUCAGAAGCAGAGCGUCAGUCAAAGGAAAGUGAACGGGCAGACCGCAGCUUGUUUGUUCAAGAGCUUCUACUGUCCACUUUGAUGCGGGAAGAAAGUUCCUCCUCAGAUGAGGAAGAACGGGGAGAGAUUGCUGAUUUUGGUGCUAUGGGCUGUGUAGAUAUUAUGCCUCUAGAUGUUGCUUUAGAAAACCUAAAUUUAAAAGAGAAUAGUAAAGGAAAUGAGCCUCCUCUUUGAUGGCAUCCCACUUUGCAGACAAUGUCCUCUGUGCUGUAUUUGCCAAUGAAAGUGGACAACAACUAUUUUGGGUUUGUUUUGGUGAUUGUAAUUUCAGGUCUGUCACUCUUGUUACGUUGUGUACAUUCAAAGGAAGAGAGAAAAGAUAUAUAUGAUAAUCAUUUCCACUUAACCAAUUUUUACUUUUAGCAGGUAAAUAUAGGUUGCAGAGAAAAAGCUCUGCGUCCUGUAGCUUGACGUGCAAAAAGCUCUCCUAAUACUCCACAUUCAAACUGAAGAGGAAAAAAUGAAAAAUCUCUAAUGAAGCUGCUGUGUGUAUUUAUGAAUAUUAAUGAAUAAAAAUUGCUUGGAUGGUUUACCUUAA